rnacentral:rRNA from 1 species
GACGAACGCUGGCGGCGUGCCUAAUACAUGCAAGUCGAACGCAGUGGGGACGGGUGAGUAACACGUGGGUAACCUCCCAUCAGAGGGGAUAACACUUGGAAACAGGUGCUAAACCGCUACUGAUGGAUGGACCCGCGGUGCAGUAGCUAGUUGGUGGGGGAACGGCCUACCUAGGCCACGAUGCAUAGCGGGCCUGAGAGGGUGAUCAGCCACACUGGAACUGAGACACGGCCCAGACUCCUACGGGAGGCAGCAGUGGGGAAUCUUGGGCAAUGGACGAAAGUCUGACCGAGCAACGCCGCGUGGAUGAAGAAGGUUUUCGGAUCGUAAAACUCUGUUGUUAGAGAAGCGGUAACUAACCAGGAAGGGACGGCUAACUACGUGCCAGCAGCCGCGGUAAUAC